CACGUAGGGCGCAAGCGUUGUCCGGAAUCAUUGGGCGUAAAGAGCGUGUAGGCGGCCCGAUAAGUCCGCCGUGAAAGCCCAGGGCUCAACCCUGGGAUGCCGGUGGAUACUGUCGGGCUAGAAUCCGGAAGAGGCGAGUGGAAUUCCUGGUGUAGCGGUGAAAUGCGCAGAUAUCAGGAGGAACACCGAUGGCGAAGGCAGCUCGCUGGGACGGUAUUGACGCUGAGACGCGAAAGCGUGGGGAGCAAACAGG
rnacentral:rRNA from 1 species